rnacentral:misc_RNA from 1 species
GAUGAAGAACGCAGCGAAAUGCGAUAAGUAGUGUGAAUUGCAGAAUUCAGUGAAUCAUCGAAUCUUUGAACGCACAUUGCGCCCUUUGGUAUUCCUUAGGGCAUGCCUGUUCGAGCGUCAUUUCAACCAUCAAGCCCCCAGGGGCUUGUGCUGGGGCCCUGCGGCUGCCCGCAGGCCCUGAAAACCAGUGGCGGGCUCGCUAGUCACACCGAGCGCAGUAGCACAUCUCGCUCAGGGCGUGCGGCGGGCUCCUGCCGUGAAACCCCCCACUGUAACCCCAAAGGUUGACCUCGGAUCAGGUAGGAAUACCCGCUGAACUUAAGCAUAUCAAUAAGCGGAGGA